rnacentral:rRNA from 1 species
GGGUUGUGAGGUUAAGCGACUAAGCGUACACGGUGGAUGCCCUGGCAGUCAGAGGCGAUGAAGGACGUGCUAAUCUGCGAUAAGCGUCGGUAAGGUGAUAUGAACCGUUAUAACCGGCGAUUUCCGAAUGGGGAAACCCAGUGUGUUUCGACACACUAUCAUUAACUGAAUCCAUAGGUUAAUGAGGCGAACCGGGGGAACUGAAACAUCUAAGUACCCCGAGGAAAAGAAAUCAACCGAGAUUCCCCCAGUAGCGGCGAGCGAACGGGGAGCAGCCCAGAGCCUGAAUCAGUGUGUGUGUUAGUGGAAGCGUCUGGAAAGGCGCGCGAUACAGGGUGACAGCCCCGUACACAAAAAUGCACAUGCUGUGAGCUCGAUGAGUAGGGCGGGACACGUGGUAUCCUGUCUGAAUAUGGGGGGACCAUCCUCCAAGGCUAAAUACUCCUGACUGACCGAUAGUGAACCAGUACCGUGAGGGAAAGGCGAAAAGAACCCCGGCGAGGGGAGUGAAAAAGAACCUGAAACCGUGUACGUACAAGCAGUGGGAGCACGCUUCGGCGUGUGACUGCGUACCUUUUGUAUAAUGGGUCAGCGACUUAUAUUCUGUAGCAAGGUUAACCGAAUAGGGGAGCCGAAGGGAAACCGAGUCUUAACUGGGCGUUAAGUUGCAGGGUAUAGACCCGAAACCCGGUGAUCUAGCCAUGGGCAGGUUGAAGGUUGGGUAACACUAACUGGAGGACCGAACCGACUAAUGUUGAAAAAUUAGCGGAUGACUUGUGGCUGGGGGUGAAAGGCCAAUCAAACCGGGAGAUAGCUGGUUCUCCCCGAAAGCUAUUUAGGUAGCGCCUCGUGAAUUCAUCUCCGGGGGUAGAGCACUGUUUCGGCAAGGGGGUCAUCCCGACUUACCAACCCGAUGCAAACUGCGAAUACCGGAGAAUGUUAUCACGGGAGACACACGGCGGGUGCUAACGUCCGUCGUGAAGAGGGAAACAACCCAGACCGCCAGCUAAGGUCCCAAAGUCAUGGUUAAGUGGGAAACGAUGUGGGAAGGCCCAGACAGCCAGGAUGUUGGCUUAGAAGCAGCCAUCAUUUAAAGAAAGCGUAAUAGCUCACUGGUCGAGUCGGCCUGCGCGGAAGAUGUAACGGGGCUAAACCAUGCACCGAAGCUGCGGCAGCGAC